rnacentral:rRNA from 1 species
UACGUAGGGGGCAAGCGUUGUCCGGAUUCAUUGGGCGUAAAGAGCGUGUAGGCGGCCAGGUAGGUCGGUUGUGAAAACUGGAGGCUCAACCUUCAGAGGUCGACCGAAACCAUCUGGCUAGAGUCCGGGAGAGGAGAGUGGGAAAUUCCUAGUGUAGAGGUGAAAUUCGUAGAUAUUAGGAAGAACACCAGUGGCGAAGGCGGCUCACUGGUCCGGUACUGACGCUGAGGUGGCGAAAGCGUGGGGAGCAAACAGG